CGCAGCGAUGGGAAAGUCCUGAAUUGCCCUUAUGGUUCUCCCUCUGUGAAGCCUGAUGAGCUAUUUUCUGCCAAAAUCCAAAGUUUGUGUCCAACAAUAAGCGGGAAUGUUUGUUGCACGGAGCUUCAGUUUGAAACAUUGCGGGCACAGGUUCAACAAGCAAUUCCGUUCCUGGUAGGGUGUCCGGCAUGCUUGAGGAACUUCCUAAAUCUUUUUUGCGAGCUUUCUUGCUCUCCAAGUCAGAGUCAGUUUAUCAAUGUGACCUCUGUGUC